CGUGCUUCAUUCAGGCCUUCCUGGGCAGGGCACAGACUGUGUGAACCUGAGAGCUCUCUGGCUGCUCCUUAAGCUUCUCUAUGGCCAGGAGCCCAGCCAGCUUCUCCAACACGCGCCCCCACAGAGCCGAUGCCCAGAAGCCCAGCACAGAUCCCACCUCCUCAGAAUCACCAAGUGCAAGUGGCCGAGGACAGGUGGACAGGUAGACAGGUGGACAGGCAAGGCCAUCCUAAAUUAGCCAACUGCUACGCAGGGACCAAGUCCAGCCGAGACCAGAAGCGCCUAGUUGAGCCAGCCAAGAUUGGCAGAGCUGCCAAGGUGAACACUCAAGGCAUCCCCUCCUGCAUCCCACCCAAGUCGGUGCUUCAGGAUUCUCAUCUGCUUCAACACCCCACCCCCAGCCCGCCUCCCUGGGUCACUGCAUUCUUCCCUGGACGACACUUGCAUGGAACAAUAGCUCAUCAACAACACAGCUCUUCUGGCUGCAGCUCAGCGGGAUGUUUUGCUAAAAUCACGAUGAUAUUUUUGGCUGGAGGCUACUGACUCAAAAUGUGCUAUGAAAGCAACUCUUACAUCUUGGGAAGCACUGGCCCGAGCUGCCUUCAAGGAACAGAAUUCUGAAUGUGCCUAAGCUGUGCUCUGCACAGAGCUCCAAGUCUUUGCUGAAUGAAUGCUGCACAAACAAGGGUGAGUCAUGACUGGGACUAAACAUAGGCUCUUGUGUGCAUUGGAUCAUAUUUCCCUGCUCUUUGGGGGCAGCGUGCAUCUCACCUUUCCCUUAGCGAGUCAUGUCAUGGGACACUGCCAGCCAGCUGUCUCCAUCAUCAUGUGCGUGAAUGGCAAAGGGACAGGCGAUGGCUCAGAAGG